UCUGUUUAAAUAACAGGUUGAGAAAGGGCCGGGCAAGACCGGUACCAGCCGCCGCGGUAAUACCGGCGGCUCGAGUGGUGGCCACUAUUACUGGGCUUAAAGCGUUCGUAGCUGGUCUGUUAAGUCUCUGGGGAAAUCUUCCGGCUUAACCGGAAGGCGUCUCAGGGAUACUGGCAGACUAGGGACCGGGAGAGGUGAGGGGUACUCCAGGGGUAGGAGUGAAAUCCUGUAAUCCUUGGGGGACCACCUGUGGCGAAGGCGCCUCACCAGAACGGCUCCGACAGUGAGGAACGAAAGCUGGGGGAGCAAACCGGAUUAGAUACCCGGGUAGUCCCAGCUGUAAACGAUGCGCGUUAGGUGUAUCGAUGACCACGAGUCAUCGAGGUGCCGAAGAGAAAUCGUGAAACGUGCCGCCUGGGAAGUACGGUCGCAAGGCUGAAACUUAAAGGAAUUGGCGGGGGAGCACCACAACGGGUGGAGCCUGCGGUUUAAUCGGACUCAACGCCGGGAAACUCACCGGAUAAGACAGCUGGAUGAUAGUCGGGCUGAAGACUCUACUUGACUAGCUGAGAGGAGGUGCAUGGCCGUCGUCAGUUCGUACUGUGAAGCAUCCUGUUAAGUCAGGCAACGAGCGAGACCCACGCCAACAGUUGCCAGCUCGUCCUCCGGGAUGGUGGGGACACUGUUGGGACCGCCUCUGCUAAAGAGGAGGAAGGAAUGGGCAACGGUAGGUCAGCAUGCCCCGAAUUAUCCGGGCUACACGCGGGCUACAAUGGGUGGGACAAUGGGUAUCGACACCGAAAGGUGAAGGCAUCUCCUAAACCCAUCCUUAGUUCGGAUUGUGGGC
rnacentral:rRNA from 1 species